rnacentral:rRNA from 1 species
GGUGGAGCCAAUCUUGAAAUACCACCCUGGUCAUGUUGGGGUUCUAACUCAGGUAUAACAAUACCGAGGACAAUGUAUGGUGGGUAGUUUGACUGGGGCGGUCUCCUCCUAAAGAGUAACGGAGGAGUACGAAGGUGCGCUCAGACCGGUCGGAAAUCGGUCGUAGAGUAUAAAGGCAAAAGCGCGCUUAACUGCGAGACCCACAAGUCGAGCAGGUACGAAAGUAGGUCUUAGUGAUCCGGUGGUUCUGUAUGGAAGGGCCAUCGCUCAACGGAUAAAAGGUACUCUGGGGAUAACAGGCUGAUACCGCCCAAGAGUUCAUAUCGACGGCGGUGUUUGGCACCUCGAUGUCGGCUCAUCUCAUCCUAGGGCUGAAGCAGGUCCUAAGGGUAUGGCUGUUCGCCAUUUAAAGAGGUACGCGAGCUGGGUUUAGAACGUCGUGAGACAGUUCGGUCCCUAUCUACCGUGGGCGUUGGAAAUUUGAGAGGAUCUGCUCCUAGUACGAGAGGACCAGAGUGGACGAACCUCUGGUGUUCGGGUUGUCACGCCAGUGGCAUUGCCCGGUAGCUACGUUCGGAUGGGAUAACCGCUGAAAGCAUCUAAGCGGGAAGCCCACCUCAAGAUUAGAUUUCCCUAAAGAGCCGUUCAAGACUAGGACGUUGAUAGGCAGGGUGUGGAAGCGCAGCGAUGCGUGUAGCUAACCUGUACUAAUUGCUCGUUUGGCUUGACCAUACAACACCCAAG